GACGAACGCUGGCGGCGUGCUUAACACAUGCAAGUCGAACGGGAACCUUUAUUUCGGUAAAGGUGAGAGUGGCAAACGGGUGAGUAACACGUAGGCAACCUGCCGACAGGAUGGGGACAACAUUCCGAAAGGAAUGCUAAUACCGAAUGGAGUCCGAGGAUGGCAUCAUUCACGGAUCAAAGAUGGCCUCUUAACAAUGCUAUCGCCUGUCGAUGGGCCUGCGUCUGAUUAGCCAGUUGGCGGGGUAACGGCCCACCAAAGCGACGAUCAGUAGCCGGUCUGAGAGGAUGAACGGCCACAUUGGGACUGAGACACGGCCCAGACUCCUACGGGAGGCAGCAGUGGGGAAUCUUCCACAAUGGGCGAAAGCCUGAUGGAGCAACGCCGCGUGAGUGAAGAAGGUCUUCGGAUCGUAAAGCUCUGUUGCACGGGACGAAAACCGAGUUUGAAAAUAUUGAACUUGGUGACGGUACC
rnacentral:rRNA from 1 species